AUUGAACGCUGGCGGCAGGCCUAACACAUGCAAGUCGAACGGUAACAGGAUACAGCUUGCUGUUUCGCUGACGAGUGGCGGGCGGGUGAGUCAUGUCUGGGAAACUGCCUGAUGGAGGGGGAUAACUACUGGAAACGGUAGCUAAUACCGCAUAACUUCGCAAGACCAAAGGGGGGGACCUUCGGGCCUCUUGUCAUCAGAUGUGCCCAGAUGGGCUUGGCUAGUAGGUGGGGUAACGGCUCACCUAGGCGACGAGCGCUAGCUGGUGUGAGAGGAUGACAAGCGACACUGGAACUGAAACACGGUCAAUGCUCCUGCGGGAGGCAGCAGUGGGGAAUAUUGCACAGUGGUGGGAAGCAUGGUGCAGCCAGGCCGCGUGUAUGGAGAAGACCUUCGGGUUGUAAAGUACUUUCAGCGGGGAGAAAGGGAGUAAGGUUAAUACCUAUGCUCAUUGACGUUACCCGCAGAAGAAGCACCGGCUAACUCCGUG
rnacentral:rRNA from 1 species